UUCGCAAUGCCCGAAAGGGUGACGAAGCGACGCCGCGUGGGUGAGGAAGGCCCUCGGGUUGUAAAGCCCUGUCAGGAGUUAAGAAAUGUAAGUGCGCUAAUAUCGCAUUUAUUUGACAAAGGCUCCAUAGGAAGCCACGGCUAACUCUGUGCCAGCAGCCGCGGUAAUACAGAGGUGGCAAGCGUUGUUCGGAAUUAUUGGGCGUAAAGAGCACGUAGGUGGGUUUGUAAGUCAGAUGUGAAAGCCUUCUGUUCAACGGAAGAAUUGCAUCUGAAACUGCAAGUCUUGAGUGUAGGAGGGGAGAAUGGAACUUCUGGUGGAGCGGUGAAAUGCGUAGAUAUCAGAAGGAACGUCGGCGGCGAAAGCGACUCUCUGGCCUAUUACUGACACUGAGUGUGCGAAAGUUAGGGGAGCAAACGGGAUUAGAUACCCCGGUAGUCCUAACUGUAGACGAUGGGCACUAAGUAGAGGGGUUUU
rnacentral:rRNA from 1 species